GGACUACCGGGGUAUCUAAUCCUGUUUGAUCCCCACGCUUUCGCACCUCAGCGUCAGUUGUGUGCCAGAUGGCCGCCUUCGCCACCGGUGUUCCUCCUAAUAUCUACGAAUUUCACCUCUACAUUAGGAAUUCCGCCAUCCCCUCACACACUCCAGCCGCACAGUUUCAAAGGCAGUUCCGGGGUUAAGCCCCGGGAUUUCACCCCUGACGAGUACGGCCGCCUACGCGCGCUUUACGCCCAGUAAUUCCGAACAACGCUAGCACCCUUCGUAUUACCGCGGCUGCUGGCAC
rnacentral:rRNA from 1 species